UUUGCGUCGUCUCGUGGUGUUUAAAUUUUCACAGUCACUACUUUAUUAUAGAGUUUUAAGACACAAUAACAAUGGACAAAGAACAACCAGAUCCGCCUAUUGUCGACUGUUGGGGGAAAAACUAUUCGAGAAAAUGUUAAAAGAAUGAUGCAGAAGGUGACGAAUGUCUCCCUCAUGGCGAAGUUCAACCUAAGCGGACAGUCAAGGCCUAAUGUUGAACCAAAAAUUGGAAUAAAGCAGACAGCAGUGUAUUCUGUCUUUAAAGCUAGUGUAAGCCAAAGUAUAAGCCAUACAGAAAAAGACCUGGAGGAGGCCCUUGCAAAGAUUUUAAAGUACGCGCCUGACAGAAAAGGCGAAGUGGGCCGAAGGCUCAAAAAACCCUUACCUUAAUGUGUUAUCUCAUUUCAUUCCAUAUUGGAACUGCUCAAUAGCUGGUCAAGGACCACCAAUCUUGCCAUAGUGAUGUGUCAUUGCCCUUUUGUGUUUUACACUUGACCAGCAUGUAUAGUUAAAGGGAUUGUAAACUACGAAUGAUGAAAAAAGAAAAGUUCUAAAAUAAUGUAUUUUUGAUUACAAUUAUUGGUUUAUAUUGAUUAAAAUAUCACCACUGGUAUAUAACAUUACUUGAAAAAACGUUUUUUUUAUUUUUACUUUAUUUUUGUAUUUAUUUAUUUUUACUGGGUAUGUAUACCAGGUAACUACCAGUUAAUUAUAAAUAACGCAAGUCGAUUGAUCAUCAAUGUCACGUGGUAAACACAGGAAUGCAAAUUGUGCAUGCGUAGUGAAUUUGAUACAUUUUAUAUAUAAAUUAUCAAUCUACUCGCGUUAUUUAUAGUGUGUAUAUCGUUAUGUCACCUAUUUUCGCGAUGUACUUUCGAUUUCACAUCGCAAAAUUUAAUUACCGAAUAUACUGCAAAUAUGAACUUUUUCAAGUAAUGUAAUAUACCAGUCGUGAUAUUUUAAUCAACAUAAACUAAUAAUUGUAAAAAAAAUACGGUAUUUUAGAACUUUUAUUUUUUCGAAAUUCCUGGUUUACAGUGCCUUUAAUGUAUGUACAAUAUAAAUACUUAGUUUUAAAUAAAAACUCUUGAUAUUUCAUUUGUAAUUCUAUUUUGAUAUUUCAUUGCCCCAUGACAUAUCUCAGAUUCUCCUUUAGAGCACUCUUUUAAACAUUUACAAUUAACGUUGCCUCUUGGUAAUUGUACCUGUUUGAAUUUUUUACAAACACCAUUUUGGGAGCAUCCACUUAAUUGUCUAUCACAACCUAUGUUUGUCUUAAGUUUGCAUUUUGAUUAUGUUCAGAUAUGUAAAUGUGUCGUGUUAUGAGAAAACUGGGCAUAAUGCUUGUGUGUUGUCAUCCCAGAUUAGCCAGUGCAGUCCGCACAGGCUAAUCAGGAACGACAAUUUCUGCUUUUAUGGAAUUUUUCGUUGAUGUCUCUUUUUAGCGAAAAUCCAGUUUAAGCGGAAAGUGUCGUCCCGGAUUAGCCUGUGCGGACUGCACAGGCUAAUCUGGGAUGACACUUUAUGCACAAGCAUUUUUCCCAGUUUUCUCAGAACACGACACAAAUUAUACAUAAUUUGUUAAAGACACCCAAUGUCUCUUUUGAUAGUUCAAUGCACAAUAUUAGUAUUAUCAAACGUUCAUGUGUAUUCAGCCUCUAUGACAAGUUAGAAAAGCAUUUUAAUCAUAAUCACAUGCCUGUGUGUAUGACAUUUGUGUCUCUUUAACAUGCUGUCUUGAUGUAUUUCGAGAAACAUAUUCAUCCAAUGCUUUGUAAAUUUGUUUUCCGUUAGAAAUUACGACAGAGAAACUGAUAUAGCCAUAUUUGUUUAUUUGUAUUUUGUCUCUAUUGAUAUAUAUUGUAAAAUGCUAUUAGUUCUUGUAUACUGCGUCCCUACUGACAUUUAUGAGACAAACGAUUGUAAUAUGUAACUAUCAUAUGAGUGUGCAUAUAUGCAUUGCGUCUCUUCAGUAAUAUUGACUUUGUGUAAUAUAGUGGCCCAUGCUUUUUUGUAUCAUGUCUCUCACACUGUAAUAUAAUGAUAUGAUUUCUCGUACACCAAGUCUCUACUGGUAAUUUAUUGAUAAAUAUUUAACACAAAUACUGACAUAUCAUUGAAUGUGUACUUUUGAAACGCAUGUGUUUAUUGACAGAUCAUGGUGUCUCUUUAAAAAAAACAUUAGAAUAACGAAAUGUGUUCAUGCAUGUUGCGUAUCUUUAGGGCAACUUUGAAACAAAUCAUUAAAUUAUCAACAUAAUUAUGUUUUUGAAAGUUCCGAUUUAAAAAAAUAAAUGUAUAAAGAUUCAGAUAUAAUAUGUGAGAAGCAAAUCAUUGUAAUGUAUAAUACAUUUCAUUGUAAUGUAUAAUAUAUUAUGUGUUAUUUCAGAGACGUAGAUGUUACAUGUAUCUACGUCUCUGGUUAUUUGUAUAUGACCGUUGUAUAUAUUUUGUGUUGACAUAAAUUAAACGAACAGAGAUAUAGAGCCCACAAGAUAAAAAUGUAUAAAUAAAUACACCUUCGCAUAUUUGUGUUUUGCCCGACCCAACCCCCAUUUUGCCUCUGCUCGUAUAAUAAAUCAGCAUCUUUGUUAUAUUUAAUUAUUUAGCACAACUCAUCCCUAUAAAUUUAUUGGUUCUUGAUUUAUUUCAACACAACUUUUUCAUUUUCAUUGUAUCAUGUGACUUGCCUGUUUAUGUACAUAUGUGCAUGUUCACAUGGGCCUAUGGCCUACUGAUUCUGAAAUAAAAUCUUUAAUGUAACUCAAAACGUGAUAA